rnacentral:rRNA from 1 species
GACCGGCGCACGGGUGAGUAACGCGUAUGCAACCUGCCUUCAACAAGGGGAUAACCCGUUGAAAAACGGACUAAUACCCUAUAAAACAGGGGUUCCGCAUGGGACUAUUUGUUAAAGAUUUAUCGGUUGAAGAUGGGCAUGCGUUCCAUUAGCUAGUUGGCGGGGUAACGGUUUACCAAGCCAACGAUGGAUAGGGGAACUGAGAGGUUUAUCCCCCACACUGGUACUGAGACACGGACCAGACUCCUACGGGAGGCAGCAGUGAGGAAUAUUGGUCAAUGGACGCAAGUCUGAACCAGCCACGUCGCGUGAAGGAAGACGGCCCUAUGGGUUGUAAACUUCUUUUAUACGGGAAUAAAGUGCACCACGUGUGGUGUUUUGCAUGUACCGUAUGAAUAAGGAUCGGCUAACUCCGUGCCAGCAGCCGCGGUAAUACGGAGGAUCCGAGCGUUAUCCGGAUUUAUUGGGUUUAAAGGGUGCUCAGGCGGGAUCUUAAGUCGGCGGUGAAAUUUUGCGGCUCAACCGUAAAAGUGC